rnacentral:pre_miRNA from 1 species
CAUGGGAUUAUGGAGUGUAUUCGCGAUAAGAAUAGCCAAUAUCUCUAUCAAUCCUGAGGA